rnacentral:rRNA from 1 species
CGGGACGGGUGAGUAAUGUCUGGGAAACUGCCUGAUGGAGGGGGGAGAACACUGGAAACGGUAGCUAAUACCGCAUAACGUCGCAAGACCAAAGAGGGGGACCUUCGGGCCUCUUGCCAUCGGAUGUGCCCAGAUGGGAUUAGCUAGUAGGUGGGGUAACGGCUCACCUAGGCGACGAUCCCUAGCUGGUCUGAGAGGAUGCCAGCCACACUGGAACUGAGACACGGUCCAG